rnacentral:misc_RNA from 1 species
GAUGAAGAACGUAGCGAAAUGCGAUAAGUAAUGUGAAUUGCAGAAUUCAGUGAAUCAUCGAAUCUUUGAACGCACAUUGCGCCCGCCAGUAUUCUGGCGGGCAUGCCUGUUCGAGCGUCAUUUCAACCAUUAAGCCCUGCUUGCGUUGGGGUCCUGCGGCUGCCCGCAGGCCCUGAAAACCAGUGGCGGGCUCGCUAGUCACACCGAGCGCAGUAAUACAUCUCGCUUUGGGCGUGCGGCGGGUUCUUGCCGUUAAACACCCCCUUUUUACCAAGGUUGACCUCGGAUCAGGUAGGAAUACCCGCUGAACUUAAGCAUAUCAAUAAGCGGAGGA